rnacentral:lncRNA from 10 species
GCCAACUUUAUUAAGAAACUGGAUCAGCCUUCACACCAGAAUGUAUAUAUACAUGAAAGUAAUUGAGCUCAGAUAGUACCUUUUUGAUUAAGAGAAAAUACUCACAUCUAUUUUAGUAGAAUAAUCGAUGAUUAAUUUCUUCCUAUAGAAGCAAUUCUGAAGCCAGAGAGCACAGCCACACGUACAGUCAAAACAGGUGAGAGGAAGCUUUUUCUUUCAGGGAUACUGGGUAAAACUUGCAGGGGAGAAUCCAUAAUAUUUAUUUAUUCUGAUAUCCAAGUUACUACUUUCCAAAGUGCUUUCACUCAAUAUUGGCAGGCUUGUUUGAGAAAUCCAGAGAGAAAUGAAAAAAAUGGCAAUCACUUCAUUUUCUGUAAAGAUCAGUUGCCAAAAAUUAUUUUUUCUGAGGUUGCUCAGUGGGCCACGAGAGUAAAAUAAUGCUUAUAGGGCUCGAAUGUUAGAAUUUCAGGGACUAUCAGCCAGAGUCACAUUAAAAUAAAAAAGGUUUGGAAAGCACAUUCCAACUCUGAAGAAAAGGCCAAACUGCUGAGCUCUGCCUUGAUAUUAAAUCAAGCUCUGAGAAUGGAAAAGAGAUUGUCUUUUUCUUACAUUUUUAAGUGACAUAUUUGAUUGUGCAUAUGUCUUCUUUAGAAUUGGAGUUGCCUCUGCUUUGAUGGUUUUGGUGUUUGGUAAAUAUUUGCACAUAUUUAAAUUUUCUUUUGGUUCUCAUUUGUUUACAUAAUCUGAUGUAAAUGCAUGUACACAUAUAUCAUAAAUAUUAUAUAUAGUUUAUGAGCACUAUUCAAUAUAAAUGUAUCCAUGAGAAAUAGUCCCAUUGCUACUUUUUACCAGUGAAUGAAAGCAUUGUUUCAAUGAAUGCUUUUGGAACAGGUGAGCACUUUCAGAUUGUGCUUUAUUCAUUCAUUCAUAAAUUUUUUCAACAAAUGAUUUUAUUACCAUGUGUCAACACUGAUGAAAAGUAGAUAAAACUCACCGGUGUUUACCCUAUGGACUCUCAGUUAAUGGUGAGUUUGUUGAAGAUGACAAGAAAAUUAGUCAUUAUAAUUUAAGCCUUGAUGUGUAAAAAGUCAACAGGACUAUCAGACACAGUCUCAUUUUUACAAAGGUUUUUCAAAGAACUAGGUAAAAGAGAAGAAAUUGCCUUGCAAUAGAUCUUACCAUAUAUCUAAAUAAAAUGAUAGUAGAAUCAGACUUACCUGGGAUAUCUUCACAUCUCUCCUGAUGUACUACUUUGGUCUCCAUUUUAUCUGCACAUCCAGUUUUCUCUGCCCCUCUCUCAGUGUCUUGUGUGUAUCAAAUGUCAUUAAAGUUUAAUAGAAAACAGAUGACUCUUGCCCUGUUCUUUCAAAGGACAGUCACAUGAACACCAGUACUCCAGAAGGAUGAAACCACACCUUUUCUGAGCACAUGGACUCAGGCCUGGGUAGAGGCCCAGGACCCAGAGCCAGUGAGGGAUAGGCCCGUAGGAAGUCCAGCAGGAAGAAGAGGCUGAGGAGAGAAAGCCAGGAUAAUGAAGACCACUUCAAGGGCAACUGGAAGCUGGUAACAGGACAUGCCCUAAGGCAGCAGGCCCCAACCUUUUUGGCACCAGGGCCUAGUUUCGUGGAAGACAAUAUUUCUACGGAGGCAGGGGAAUGGUUUUGGGAUGAAACUGUUCUACCUCGGAUCAUCAAGCAUUAGGUUCUCAUAGGGAGCACGCAACUACAUCCCUUGCAUGUGGAGUUCACCGUGGGGUUCAUGCUCCUGUGAGAAUCUGAUGCUGCCACUGAUCUGUCCAUGGUCCAGGGGUUGGAGACCCCUGCCUUAAGGGAUAUUUCUUUUACCAUGGAUGAAUUCAUCACCUUCCAACAUCAGCCACAUCAGCUUCUCUCUUCUUAGCACCCUUGAGCAAGUCACAGUUAUAGAGUGCACAGGCAGAAAAAUCACACACACACAGGAGCAUGAGUUACAGUUCUGAACUAUUUUGAGUAAUCAGAAAGUUACCUAAAUAUUAUUUUUUUAAAAAAUUAAGGUCAAUUUAGCACUGAAAUUCUUGACAGAUUAAGAAAAAACUGUAACUUUGAUAAUGUCAUGACUUUGGAUAUUAACUUGGAUUAUUUGACACGUAUUUUAUUACUUAGUUUAAAUGUAGCAGGUCAAAUCAUAUAUUUAGAAAUCCGUUAGCUAUAAAUAGUAAAUACCCAAUAUAAAAUAGUUUAUAAGACAGGAGUUUUUCUAAUCUUCUAAUGCCAGCAUUUAUGAUAUAGUCUACUGCACAGGAAUCUCCAUUCAGUUUAUAAAAAAAAAAGAAGAAAGAAAAGAAAUAUUUAUGAGAUUGAUGCUCCCUACAUUUUGUUCUAUUAGAAACCAAGGCACAGAGAGCUUAUAGAUCAUAGAGCAUCAUCUAGUUCAGUUGAAUAUUUAAGGAAUUAGGCCUGAGUAUGUCCACUCUGAACCGGGCAGUCCCCAGCAUCUUCUUAUCCUUUCUCCUUAUCAUCAGGGACAAUUUCACUGUCAGGUAGCACAUGGGAUGUUUCUUUCAAAAUUUUAAAUGUAUGCAUAAUUACAUUGUUCUUUAGCCUUUCAGAUAUUUCAUGAGAACCUAGCCAAAAUUUUUGACUAACACAUAGUUCUGAGCCAGCAUCUAAUUAGUAUUAUGUAAGCUAUAAUACAACUGAACUCAAACUAAAAUAUUUUUAAAACCAGAAUACGUAUCUUCCCAAAAUGGUAUCUGUUGGUAUAACUGAUAUGCAUAUUUGGUAAAAUUCAUUCUUUAUACCAGAUGUAUAUUUAUUUCAAAGUUAAUGUAUUUUAGGUCAACCUCUAAAAUGUUUCUCUUAACUAGUUUGCUG